rnacentral:RNase_P_RNA from 1 species
ACGCCCGGGCAACCGCUGCGCAAGCAGAGGAAAGUCCAUGCUCGCACACUCUGCGAUGAGUGUAGUGAUUGUGCAGGAUGAAAAAAUAAAUCCUGGCAGUAAUACUGACGGCUGCGGUGACUCCUAAAGUGAAAACCAUGGAGGAACCCUGUAAAAGUGCCACAGUGACGUAGCCUUUGGGAAACCGAAGGAGUGGAACGCGGUAAACCCCACAAGCGAGAAACCCAAAUUUGGUAGGGGAAUCCGGCAAGAUGAAAUGAAAUCGAACCGGGACAGCAAUGUAGAUAGAUGGUUGCCCUGUGUGCAAACACAGACAGAACAUGGCUUAUACGG